GUUGUGUCGUCUGUUUGUUUACUCUUAUGAAACUUCACUUUUUAUUCAAAAUGGUCGUAAAGGGUAUACCAUGUGUGGUGUGCCAUGUCACAAUUGGUUUAUCACACAUUUCCGAAGAACAAGAAAAGAGCCCUUGAGUGGGUUAAUGCCUUGAGACAUGAUCCGCUCAGAGAAAAAAAGCUUAGACCAAAUAAGAAGUAAUCGUUUAUGCUCGCUACAUUUCUCGGGGCAAAUUAUGUCCAAGGCAACACCAGCUCUAGGUUGAGAUGGGAUGCAUGUCCUGACACAUUUUUGGGUAAUGGAAAUAUGGAUGUUCUUCCCCCAUCAAUUAAUGACAAAGAUCAGUCAGAAUUUGCCUCUUAUUCUGGUAAAUUAAAGGAAUGCUCCGCA